rnacentral:rRNA from 1 species
ACGGAGGGCGCAAGCGUUGCUCGGAAUCACUGGGCGUAAAGGGUGCGCAGGCGGUUUAUUAAGUCAGAUGUGAAAGCCCAGGGCUCAACCCUGGAACUGCAUCUGAAACUGGUUAACUUGAGUAUGAGAGAGGAAAGUGGAAUUCCUGGUGUAGAGGUGAAAUUCGUUGAUAUCAGGAGGAACAUCAGUGGCGAAGGCGACUUUCUGGCUCAUUACUGACGCUCAUGCACGAAAGUGUGGGUAGCAAACAGG